CUGCGGAAGGAUCAUUAUUGAAUGAAACUUCUGGCUGGAUGUUGUUGUGCUGGCCCUUUGGGGGGGCAAUGUGCACACACCCUCUGGCUGCUUGUUUCUUCUGUUCCACCUGUGCACUGCCUGUAGACACUCUGUGUCUAUGAUAUGUUUUACACAUACAAUGUUAAUGCAUGUUUGGUUGGCUUUUAUAUAUUAAAAUACAACUUUCAACAAUGGAUCUCUUGGCUCUCGCAUCGAUGAAGAACACAGCGAAAUGUGAUAAGUAAUGUGAAUUGCAGAAUCCAGUGAAUCAUCGAAUCUUUGAACGCAUCUUGCGCUCCUUGGCAUUCCGAGGAGCAUGCCUGUUUGAGUGUCAUUAAACUAUCAAAACACUUUUCUUGGGUGUUUUGGAUUUUGGGAGUAUUUUGCUGGUCUGUUUGAUCCAGCUCUCCUCAAAAGCAUUAGCUUUGUAGACUAUCAGUGUGAUAAUAAUAAAAAUUUACGCUGACUUGAGUGUCUCUGCUUCUCCUUUUAAAAACCCUCCUUUGACCUCAAAUCAGGUAGGACUACCCGCUGAACUUAAGCAUAUC
rnacentral:rRNA from 1 species